GUUAGGAAUAUUGGACAAUGGGCGAAAGCCUGACCCAGCCAUGCCGCGUGAACGAUGAAGGCCUUCGGGUUGUAAAGUUCUUUAGCCGAUGAUUAUAUGACUGUAGUCGGAAAAUAAGCCCCGGCUAACUUCGUGCCAGCAGCCGCGGUAAUACGAAGGGGGCGAGCGUUAUUCGGAAUCACUGGGCGUAAAGCGUGCGUAGGCGGUUUUGUAAGUUAGGAGUGAAAGCCCAGGGCUCAACCUUGGAAUUGCUCUUAAAACUGCAAGGCUCGAAUCUCGGAGAGGAUAGCGGAAUUUCCAGUGUAGCAGUGAAAUGCGUAGAUAUUGGAAGGAACACCAGUGGCGUAAGCGGCUAUCUGGACGAGUAUUGACGCUGAGGCACGAAAGCGUGGGGAUCAAACAGGAUUAGAUACCCGUGUAGUCC
rnacentral:rRNA from 1 species